rnacentral:rRNA from 1 species
GACGAACGCUGGCGGCGUGCUUAACACAUGCAAGUCGAGCGGUAAGGCCCUUUCGGGGGUACACGAGCGGCGAACGGGUGAGUAACACGUGGGUGACCUGCCCUUAGCUCUGGGAUAAGCCUGGGAAACUGGGUCUAAUACCGGAUAUGACUCCAUGACGCAUGUUGUGGGGUGGAAAGCCUUGUGCGGCUAGGGAUGGGCCCGCGGCCUAUCAGCUUGUUGGUGGGGUGACGGCCUACCAAGGCGACGACGGGUAGCCGGCCUGAGAGGGCGACCGGCCACACUGGGACUGAGACACGGCCCAGACUCCUACGGGAGGCAGCAGUGGGGAAUCUUGCGCAAUGGGCGAAAGCCUGACGCAGCGACGCCGCGUGAGGGAUGACGGCC